rnacentral:lncRNA from 1 species
UUUGAGGACUGGCCAUACUACUUAGGUCAAUGUGUUAUUACCUGACUAUAUCUGUUUCUGAAACAUUUUUAGUAUUCACCAUUCGAAUGGUGAAUAUUGCUGAACUUAUUUCCUUAUAUUGAAAGCUAAGAUGAUUCUGAAAAAAAUGUUAACAGGGAUUAGUUUGAAAUAAGCUCCUAAUUAACUUGCUGUAUUGUAUAUUUUUGUUGCAUUUCACAGAUCCAUUCGUGAAGCCAAGAAACCCAACAAAAUGGAACUUCCCAUGCAGAUAUUCACUGAGGAUAUUGCAUGCUGUGACACUCCUCUGUAUGUAACAGCAACAAACUUUGAUGUGGUGAAUGACAUAAUCAGCAAGUUACUACCAGUGAUAAGAAAGCAUGCAUGAGUAUCCGCAUGACUUUAGAAUGAUAAAUAUUCAAAAGAACUUCAGUUCACGGGACUUAAGAAAUUUUAUAGCUUUUCCUUCCCUACCUGGGGUAAUCAUGAAAUAUCUAAAUGCUGAUGUACAUGGGAAAUUCAUCUUGAAGCCCAGAAACUCAGCAAGAAACCAGCAGCAAAAGAGUGAGUCUGCCAUUUUCCUUCAGGUGGCUUUUCUUAGUUCCCAUUUUAAUUUAUCAUAAAAUAUCAUAGCAUACUAUCAUUUUCUUGCUUAGGAAAGGAGCACUGUAAAAAACAAACAAACAAACAAAAAAACCCCACUAAAGCAGUAUGUUUC